AAAAAAAAUCGACAAAAAUCGGUUCUUAAAAAGCGAAAUGAUUAAAAAGAUAUUAAAGGAUAUAUAAAAUGGAAAAUGAUAGAGAGGAAAGAGGACAAAAGAUCGGAGAGGAGGAGAGAGGUAAAUUCAAAGAAAUAUUUCCUGCUACAAGUAUUGAUCCGUAACCUGUCCAUUCGUGUAUAUUCGUAACAUUUCGUUCGGAUUACCGGGGCUGUACCAGCCACGAUAUAUGAGUACGUGGGGGAAACUAAAAAGUGGGGGCUCUAAAUGGCGCAUGCUCGUUUCAUAAGGGAGGAUGAGAUCCGGACAGAUAGAUGGAAGAGAAACCGGGAUUUAUUUUAUAUUUGAAUCUUACCGUACUCCGUGAAAGAAAGUACUAUCGCUCCGUGCGAGCUGGUUAACUAUACGGCUGCUGCACGUCCUAACCAUAGUUGCACGUUCUGACGACAUCAAAACAAGUUUUUCUCAAUUCCUCGACCUCCAAACGAGAACUUCAGGUCCGUAACAACAUCCGAAGGACCCAAGAAGCGAUCAAUUUUUCAAGUCAUCCUCAAGAGUUUCGUGACAAUUUUUCAGAAAUUCAUACAUUGCACGCGUUCCGUGAUACACGCUGUGAAAAUGAAGGAAGAGUCAAGUAACAAUACGACAUCAAAUAACAUGUUAGUAUUUAUAACAAUUUGCUUAUUUAUAUAUCUUAAUUUAUUAGCUUGUACGUAUUUUGCUAUCUAUUAUUAUUCAAAACGCUAAAAAUUUAUAAGUAUUUAAAAAAGAUGAAAACCCGAUAUAUGUUCUUUGUGUAUAUAUAUAUUUUAAUCAUUUUUAAAUAUUUAAUAAAUCGAAAGACCCACUACACACACACACACACACACACACACCUAAACACUACCAGACAAAAAUGUACUUAGACAAACGAUUUUCUUAAAUUUUUUUUCAAUCAAUUUAAUGUAUUCAUAUUAAAAUAAUUGAUUUAUAGAGGGAAAGACGACAAAUUAUUUAUAUGAGUAGAUUACAUGACAUUUAACAUGAUAUAUAUUUCGAAAGAAGUAAAAAUAUAAUUGGCAAAA